rnacentral:misc_RNA from 1 species
GAAACCCUUCUUCUCAAAUCUGCCAAUGAUCUCCCCAACCUGAAAUGAACGCAUGAACACAAAUUUUUCAGUAUAUUGGCCUUUAUGGUUCCAACCACUGAUCAACGCACAGCAAAGCAAUGCAGUUGAUUCUUUCUUUUAUUUAUCUAAUUAUUUUGAGAGAUAGAAGUUAAUUAACCAAGCUUCAGCUAAUUUAAUGAAAGCUCAGUGGUAUCAACAUAUUUUUGGUCUUGUAUAAUCCAUCUAAACCAUGUUUGAUCUACGAUAUAUCUAUUCUCUCUCCACAACCGGGAACAAGAUCUAUGAACACUUCAAUUAUGAAACUGAUAACCCAUAAUCCCGAUUCAGCUUCAGUAAGUGUGUGUAUAAAGAAAAUGAACUCAUUUGUGAGAAAAAUAGAAAGCCCAAGAACUGAAUUUUAAAGAAAUGAGAACAUAAU